rnacentral:rRNA from 1 species
UACGGAGGGUGCAAGCGUUAUCCGGAUUCACUGGGUUUAAAGGGUGCGUAGGUUGAUAGGUAAGUCAGUGGUGAAAUACUCCGACUCAAUCGGAGAACUGCCGUUGAUACUAUCUAUCUUGAAUACGGUGGAGGCGGGCGGAAUGCGUCAUGUAGUGGUGAAAUACUUAGAUAUGACGCAGAACACCCAUUGCGAAGGCAGCUCGCUACACCGGCAUUGACACUGAGGCACGAAAGCGUGGGGAUCAAACAGGA